rnacentral:rRNA from 1 species
UUGAACUGAAGAGUUUGAUCAUGGCUCAGAUUGAACGCUGGCGGCAGGCCUAACACAUGCAAGUCGAGCGGAUGACGGGAGCUUGCUCCUUGAUUCAGCGGCGGACGGGUGAGUAAUGCCUAGGAAUCUGCCUGGUAGUGGGGGACAACGUUUCGAAA